UACAGAGGGUGCAAGCGUUGUUCGGAAUUAUUGGGCGUAAAGCGCGUGUAGGCGGCAUGGCAAGUCGGGUGUGAAAGCCCCCGGCUCAACUGGGGAGGGUCACUCGAUACUGAUCGACUCGAAGGCAGGAGAGGGUAGUGGAAUUCCCGGUGUAGUGGUGAAAUGCGUAGAUAUCGGGAGGAACACCAGUGGCGAAGGCGACUACCUGGCCUGUUUCUUGACGCUGAGGCGCGAAAGCUAGGGGAGCAAACGGG
rnacentral:rRNA from 1 species